GGAUAUAGCUCAGUGGUGGAGCCUGUGCCUUCCAUGUGCUAGGCCUGGGUUCAAUUCUCAGCACCA
rnacentral:tRNA from 1 species